rnacentral:rRNA from 1 species
AGUUUGAUCCUGGCUCAGGAUGAACGCUAGCUACAGGCUUAACACAUGCAAGUCGAGGGGAAACGAUAUUGGAAGCUUGCUUCCGAUAGGCGUCGACCGGCGCACGGGUGAGUAACGCGUAUCCAACCUGCCCAUCACUUGGGGAUAACCUUGCGAAAGUAAGACUAAUACCCAAUGAUAUCUCUAGAAGACAUCUGAAGGAGAUUAAAGAUUUAUCGGUGAUGGAUGGGGAUGCGUCUGAUUAGCUUGUUGGCGGGGUAACGGCCCACCAAGGCUACGAUCAGUAGGGGUUCUGAGAGGAAGGUCCCCCACAUUGGAACUGAGACACGGUCCAAACUCCUACGGGAGGCAGCAGUGAGGAAUAUUGGUCAAUGGACGAGAGUCUGAACCAGCCAAGUAGCGUGCAGGAUGACGGCCCUAUGGGUUGUAAACUGCUUUUAUAAGGGAAUAAAGUGAGUCUCGUGAGACUUUUUGCAUGUACCUUAUGAAUAAGGACCGGCUAAUUCCGUGCCAGCAGCCGCGGUAAUACGGAAGGUCCGGGCGUUAUCCGGAUUUAUUGGGUUUAAAGGGAGCGUAGGCCGGAGAUUAAGCGUGUUGUGAAAUGUAGAUGCUCAACAUCUGAACUGCAGCGCGAACUGGUUUCCUUGAGUACGCACAAAGUGGGCGGAAUUCGUGGUGUAGCGGUGAAAUGCUUAGAUAUCACGAAGAACUCCGAUUGCGAAGGCAGCUCACUGGAGCGCAACUGACGCUGAAGCUCGAAAGUGCGGGUAUCGAACAGGAUUAGAUACCCUGGUAGUCCGCACGGUAAACGAUGGAUGCCCGCUGUUGGUCUGAAUAGGUCAGCGGCCAAGCGAAAGCAUUAAGCAUCCCACCUGGGGAGUACGCCGGCAACGGUGAAACUCAAAGGAAUUGACGGAAGGG